rnacentral:rRNA from 1 species
CCCUUAGAUGUCCUGGGCCGCACGCGCGCUACACUGACAUGUUCAACAAGCCUCCUAGUUCGACAGGAUUUGUGAAAUCUUUGAACGCAUGUCGUGAUAGGGAUAGAUCAUUGCAAUUAUUGAUCUUGAACGAGGAAUUCCUAGUAAACGCGAGUCAUCAGCUCGCAUUGAUUACGUCCCUGCCCUUUGUACACACCGCCCGUCGCACCUACCGAUUGAAUGUUUCGGUGAAGAUUCCGGAUAGGACUUUUUUGAUUUAUUUCAAUUUUGUCUUAAAAGCUAUCUAAACCUCAACAUUUAGAGGAAGGUGAAGUCGUAACA